rnacentral:rRNA from 1 species
UACGGAGGGUGCGAGCGUUGUCCGGAAUCACUGGGCGUAAAGGGCGCGUAGGCGGCCUGGUAAGUAGGGGGGUGAAAUCCUGCGGCUUAACCGCAGGGCUGCCUUCUAAACUGUCAGGCUCGAGCACGGUAGAGGCAGAUGGAAUUCCCGGUGUAGCGGUGGAAUGCGUAGAGAUCGGGAAGAACACCGGUGGCGAAGGCGGGUCUCUGGGCCGAUACUGAUGCUGAGGAGCGAAAGCAUGGGUAGCGAACAGG